AAAAUCCGUCGACUUUAGAAAUCGUGAGGGUUCAAGUCCCUCUAUCCCCCCAAAAAGACCGAUUUGACUAUUUCUCCUACCCUCUCUUUUUUUUAGUGGUUCCAAAUUUGUUCUCUUUCUCAUUCAUUCUACCUUUUUACAAACGUAUCAGAGCAGAAUUUUUUUCUUUUAUCACAAUCACAAGUGGUGUGGUAUAUAUGAUAUACGUACAAAUGAACAUCUUUGAACAAAGAAUCCCGAUUCACAAUUCAUAUCAUUGCUCAUACUGAAACUUAUAAAUUAUUCUAUUCAAGAAAUCUAAUUCCACGCUCAAGACUUUUAAUACUUUUUUUAUCUUUUUUAAUUGACAUAGACCCCAGUCAUCUAGUAAAAUAAGGAUGAUGCGCCGGUAAUGGUCGGGAUAGCUCAGCUGGUAGAGCAGAGGACUGAAAAUCCU
rnacentral:tRNA from 1 species